rnacentral:rRNA from 1 species
UACGAAGGGUGCAAGCGUUACUCGGAAUUACUGGGCGUAAAGCGUUCGUAGGUGGUUCGUUAAGUCUGAUGUGAAAGCCCUGGGCUCAACCUGGGAAUUGCAUUGGAUACUGGCGAGCUAGAGUGCGGUAGAGGGUAGUGGAAUUCCCGGUGUAGCAGUGAAAUGCGUAGAGAUCGGGAGGAACAUCUGUGGCGAAGGCGACUACCUGGACCAGCACUGACACUGAGGCACGAAAGCGUGGGGCGCAAACAGG